AUUGAACGCUGGCGGCAGGCCUAACACAUGCAAGUCGAGCGGUAACACAGGGAGCUUGCUCCUGGGUGACGAGCGGCGGACGGGUGAGUAAUGUCUGGGAAACUGCCUGAUGGAGGGGGAUAACUACUGGAAACGGUAGCUAAUACCGCAUAACGUCGCAAGACCAAAGAGGGGGACCUUCGGGCCUCUUGCCAUCAGAUGUGCCCAGAUGGGAUUAGCUAGUAGGUGGGGUAAUGGCUCACCUAGGGGACGAUCCCUAGCUGGUCUGAGAGGAUGACGAGCCACACUGGAACGGCGACACGGUCCAGACUCCUACGGGAGGAAGCAGGGAGGAAUAUUGCACAUUGGGCGCAAGCCUGAUGCAGCCAUGCCGCGUGUAUGAAGAAGGCCUUCGGGUUGUAAAGUACUUUCAGCGGGGAGGAAGGUGUUGAGGUUAAUAACCUCAGCAAUUGACGUUACCCGCAGAAGAAGCACCGGCUAACUCCGUGCCAGCAGCCGCCGUAA
rnacentral:rRNA from 1 species